rnacentral:rRNA from 1 species
GAUGAACGCUGGCGGCGUGCCUAAUACAUGCAAGUCGAGCGAACAGACGAGGAGCUUGCUCCUCUGACGUUAGCGGCGGACGGGUGAGUAACACGUGGAUAACCUACCUAUAAGACUGGGAUAACUUCGGGAAACCGGAGCUAAUACCGGAUAAUAUAUUGAACCGCAUGGUUCAAUAGUGAAAGACGGUUUUGCUGUCACUUAUAGAUGGAUCCGCGCCGCAUUAGCUAGUUGGUAAGGUAACGGCUUACCAAGGCGACGAUGCGUAGCCGACCUGAGAGGGUGAUCUGCCACCCUGGAACUGAGACACGGUCCAGACUCCUACGGGAGGCAGCAGUAGGGAAUCUUCCGCAAUGGGCGAAAGCCUGCCGGAGCAACGCCGCGUGAGUGAUGAAGGUCUUCGGAUCGUAAAACUCUGUUAUUAGGGAAGAACAAAUGUGUAAGUAACUAUGCACGUCUUGACGGUACCUAAUCAGAAAGCCACGGCUAACUACGUG